GUAGGUGGCAAGCGUUGUCCGGAAUUAUUGGGCGUAAAGCGCGCGCAGGCGGUUCUUUAAGUCUGAUGUGAAAGCCCACGGCUCAACCGUGGAGGGUCAUUGGAAACUGGAGAACUUGAGUACGGAAGAGGAAAGCGGAAUUCCACGUGUAGCGGUGAAAUGCGUAGAGAUGUGGAGGAACACCAGUGGCGAAGGCGGCUUUCUGGUCUGUAACUGACGCUGAGGCGCGAAAGCGUGGGGAGCAAACAGGGAUUAGAUACCCUGGUAGUCCACGCCGUAAACGAUGAGUGCUAAGUGUUAGGGGGUUUCCCGCCCCUUAGUGCUGCAGCUAACGCAUUAAGCACUCCGCCUGGGGAUACGGCCGCAAGGCUG
rnacentral:rRNA from 1 species